rnacentral:rRNA from 1 species
ACUGAACGCUGGCGGCAUGCCUUACACAUGCAAGUCGAACGGUAACAGGUCUUCGGAUGCUGACGAGUGGCGAACGGGUGAGUAAUACAUCGGAACGUGCCUAGUAGUGGGGGAUAACUACUCGAAAGAGUGGCUAAUACCGCAUGAGAUCUACGGAUGAAAGCAGGGGAUCGCAAGACCUUGUGCUACUAGAGCGGCCGAUGGCAGAUUAGGUAGUUGGUGGGCUAAAAGCUUACCAAGCCGACGAUCUGGAGCUGGUCUGAGAGUACGAUCAGCCACACUGGGACUGCGACACGUCCCAGACUCCUACGGGAGGCAGCAGUGGGGAAUUUUGGACAAUGGGCGCAAGCCUGAUCCAGCAAUGCCGCGUGCAGGAUGAAGGCCUUCGGGUUGUAAACUGCUUUUGUACGGAACGAAAAGCCCUGGGUUAAUACCCUGGGGUCAUGACGGUACCGUAAGAAUAAGCACCGGCUAACUACGUGCCAGCCGCCGCCGUAAGAC